rnacentral:lncRNA from 1 species
CUUCCUUUCCCUCCUCCUCCCAGCCCACCUCACCCCUAAAUUUUAACCUUGCAAUUAUAAUAGAUUUUCUUCCUUGAAGAAGCCCACCUGGAUUUCACCCCCAGUUACCUUGGAUCUGUGGGCUCAGGAUGAUAGUUCCAGAGGAUCCCCUGAGCUGCCACAUAGAACUGCCUUAGCCGCGCGGCCUCUGCCUGGUGGCUGCCCCAGCCCGCCCAGCGGGUGCUCAGAACCACCAGGAGGAAGAAGCGCGGGCAGACUAGGAGCAUGGCCCUUGUCCUGCCGCGCGCUGCCACCACCGACAGUGCUCAGUGCUCUGUCCCUGUUGCGCGCUGUCCUGGCUCUCUGGAGGACUAAGAAGCUGCAGGGCACAAUCUUCUGUGUCCCCUAGUACCAUCUGGAGGUUUCUGUGAAAGUCUCAGCAGCAGAGGUGUAAACAACCUCAUUGAUAUGAAACAUGGAAGACCCAGGAGAUCUUAAAGCAGGCAUCCCCUUAAACUAGAGGUCUGCCUGCCCACCAACAUUGCUACUCUUCAAUCCCAAGAGAAAGACCUUCGGUUUUCCAGAGCCUGGUCACCUGGUGAGGCAGAUGCUCCAGGGCCUUGGACUCACUCCCGUUUUCAGCAACAGCAAAGUAACAACAAGCCACAGACCAGAGCAGAAACAUUUGCUCCUGGGUCUGUGGCUGAGCUGGAGGAAGAGAACCUCAGCAAAUGCCCAAAUGCUGUGGAGUUACAGUCAAGUGUGACACGAAACUUGACACUUGCAUGUGGAAUCCUGAGAAAUCGAAUGAGACCGGGUUGGCAGACCGGGUUUCUGAAAAAGAAACAAACUAAUUAAGCGACUGCUUCCUUACGAGAUAAAGAAGACUUUCACCGUGGGCACCCUCUGAUGUCUGAGACAUUUGCCUCUUUCUAGGUUCUACACUGUCUACCAGCAGGAAAGGGGGCUUUCCCUGUACUGUUUGAAAAGAUGACUUCAGGUAGUUUCUGCUCAGGUAGCACAGGGGAUUUUGAGGCAAGCCCACAAUGUCAACGUCACUUCCUUGGCAUCAGUGGGAUCUCAGACAUCCUGGAACAGGUUAUGUACUGCUAGAACCUCUCAUCUGGGCGGGAAUGGAAAUCCAAGGAUAAAUUCAAUUGUCUCCACUCAGUCACACAUACUUCUUGCCAAUAUGGUUUUAUCAGGGCUUAACAUUCUAAUACAUGCUUAAAAUUCAAGACAUAUGAUAUAAAGAAAAUUCAAGACUGGUA